rnacentral:lncRNA from 1 species
GCAAAUGGUGAUUGGCUAGCUCAAAGAAGUAAAGAGGAUAAGGGUUCAAGAUUUAAGACAAGAAAAGUGAAGACUUUGGUAGGGAUUGAGGAUGCAAAUUGGUCAAGAAAGACUAUUAAAAUCUUGAGGGGGAAAAAAGAAAAUAGAAAAAAGAGGAGAGAGAAGAGAGAAGAGAGGUGCAAUCACCAUUUAAUAGAAGUAUAAAAUACACAAAAUGAAUCUUUUAGUGAUUUUGAUAUUUAAACCAUAUGAGAAUUUUAUGCAAAAACAUAUAAUUAUCAGAGGAUUUAUAAACUCAUUGAGCU